rnacentral:rRNA from 1 species
AUUGAACGCUGGCGGCAGGCCUAACACAUGCAAGUCGAACGAGUGGCGGACGGGUGAGUAAUGUAUGGGGAACUGCCUGAUGGAGGGGGAUAACUACUGGAAACGGUAGCUAAUACCGCAUACCAUCGGAUGACCCCAUAUGGGAUUAGCUAGUUGGUGGGGUAAAGGCUCACCAAGGCGACGAUCCCUAGCUGGUCUGAGAGGAUGAUCAGCCACACUGGAACUGAGACACGGCCCAGACUCCUACGGGAGGCAGCAGUGGGGAAUAUUGCACAAUGGGCGCAAGCCUGAUGCAGCCAUGCCGCGUGUAUGAAGAAGGCCUUAGGGUUGUAAAGUACUUUCAGCGGGGAGGCGUUACCCGCAGAAGAAGCACCGGCUAACUCCGUGCCAGCAGCCGCGGUAAUUC